rnacentral:rRNA from 1 species
GCUAUCAUGCAGUCGUGGGGCAGCACAGUGUAGCAAUACAUGGGGUGGCGACCGGCAAACGGGUGCGGAACACGUACGCAACCUUCCUUCAAGUGGGGGAUAGCCCGGGGAAACCCGGAUUAAUACCCCGUAAUACUGUGAGAUGGCAUCAUCUUACACUUAUAGCUCCGGCGCUUGAAGAUGGGCGUGCGCCUGAUUAGGUAGUUGGCGGGGUAACGGCCCACCAAGCCUUCGAUCAGUAACUGGUGUGAGAGCACGACCAGUCACACGGGCACUGAGACACGGGCCCGACUCCUACGGGAGGCAGCAGUAAGGAAUAUUGGUCAAUGGACGCAAGUCUGAACCAGCCAUGCCGCGUGGAGGAUGAAGGUCCUCUGGAUUGUAAACUUCUUUUAUCUGGGAAGAAACCCACGGUUUCUACUGUGGUUGACGGUACCAGAUGAAUAAGCACCGGCUAACUCCGUGCCAGCAGCCGCGGUAAUACGGAGGGUGCAAGCGUUAUCCGGAUUCACUGGGUUUAAAGGGUGCGUAGGUGGGUUGGUAAGUCAGUGGUGAAAUCUCCGAGCUUAACUUGGAAACUGCCGUUGAUACUAUCAAUCUUGAAUAUCGCGUAGGUAAGCGGAAUAUGUCAUGUAGCGGUGAAAUGCUUAGAUAUGACAUAGAACACCAAUUGCGAAGGCAGCUUACUUCACGAUCAUUGACACUGAGGCACGAAAGCGUGGGGAGCAAAACAGGAUUAGAUACCCUGGUAGUCCACGCCCUAAACGAUGGAUACUCGACAUUAGCGAUACACUGGUUAGUGUCUGAGCGAAAGCAUUAAAUUAUCCCACCUGGGAAGUACGACCGCAAGGUUGAAAACUCAAAGGAAUUGGCGGGGGUUCCCCACAAGCGGUGGAACCAUGUUGGUUUAAUUUCAAUGAUACCCC